CCUUUUCAUGAGUUAUUAGUAGUUUAGUACCAUCUUUCCUUCUUUUGGGGAUGCAGAAGUAUCUGUUUUUGAUAUUCGAAUGCAAAUAUCAACUAUAUUUUUCAAUUUCUUCCUAAUAGCAAUAUGGAGAUAUCAGAACUCUCUAUACCGCAUGUAAGCACAGAGGAUUUGUGAUGAUAUCUUACUAUGAUAUCAGAGCUGCUCGCACUGCAAUGCGGGCAUUGCAAAACAAGCCCUUAAGACGAAGAAAACUUGAUAUUCAUUUUUCAAUUCCCAAGGUCUGAACCAAGAUAUCCCUUCUUUAAUAAUGAAACUGUUGAAUGGAUGAGCACCUAUUUGAUAUUAUUUCUUGCUACAUCCAGGAUAACCCAUCGGAGAAAGAUGUUAACCAAGGAACUCUUGUGGUCUUCAAUUUGGAUGCAUCAGUGUCCAACGAUGACCUCCACCUAAUAUUUGGGGCUUAUGGAGAAGUUAAGGAGGUGAGAAUUUGUUACACUUAUCUGGUUGUCAUUGUUAUUUCUGUUGCAUUUAUUUAUUUAUGUUGUAGCUUCCCUAGGAAUUCCUCAUCUUCUGUUGGCUGAGCUGCAUUGGUUUUCCUUUUUACAAAAUGUAGAUCAGGGAAACACCCCACAAACGACAUCACAAGUUCAUUGAGUUUUAUGAUGUUAGAGCUGCAGAUGCAGCUCUGAAGGCUUUAAAUAGAAGUGAUAUUGCUGGGAAGCGUAUAAAACUUGAACCUAGCAGGCCUGGUGGAGCUCGUCGGAGGUACAUUUCAUAUUUUAAAUGCUGAUGUCGGAGUGAACCUGUUUUCUCAUGUCGUUUUCCUGCUUUUCUGUUUGUAUUUUUUUUUUUUUUGGACAAUUAAUUGCACAACUUCCUGUCAUUAUUCUUUUUAUUUACUUAUUUGUUAAUUUACAUGCAUAAUAAAUGGUUGCUGUCAACGUCCACGUGUUGCUCUUCUUUUCUUAAAUAUAAUGUAACUGGGAUAAGAGGAAGUAUCGUAAAUUGGGUCUUGUCAUUUGUAUUUUAAUUGAAAAAAUGUGAAAAUCAUUAAAUAGCAGAUGCAUUUAGCUUUGCUGAAGCUCAAUAUCUGUUUGGAAAAGAAUGCUUUCCAUGGCAUCAGACUGCACAAUAUUUGUUUUUUUUUUACUGGCUGUUGAACAUACUCGUCACAGUACUGCAAUCUUGAUAUGUAGCUGGAUUUUUUAUGUUGGUAGCUUGGAUUACACAAAAAGUUUGCACCAUUCAUGCCCGUCAUUUUUAGGGAUAUUGGUGGAAGAAUUAUCUCCCAAGUCCUUGGACUUUGUCCCCUAAAAAUCAUUAAUUUUUCAAAUAAAGUUUGAUACAGCAUUUGCUACUGUUGGCUUAUCUUUUUUUCCUUGGUCAAUUAGGUUCCAUCUUUUUAUCACACUUCAUAUCACUUGGAUAGUUAGUUCAAUGCAAGUCAUGUUCUAGUUGAAAGGGCAACCAAUGAGUUGUUUGUUCUUUUCUUGUAUAGCUUAAUGCUGCAACUGAAUCAAGAGCGAGAACAAGAUGAAUCUCGACCUUUCCACCAUCAAGUUGGUUCACCUGUAACCAACUCUCCUCCAGGUACAUUGAUGGAUGAUAUACAUUAAAAUGGCGAGCACUUGCUGAUUGUAUGUCUAUAAUCAUGGCACCAGUGUUUGCACUUGCAGGUAGCUGGGCAAAUUUUGGGAGUCCAGUCGAUCACAAUUCAUUUCCUGAUUUUAGUCGGUCACCUGUUUUAGGGAACCUCAGCCCUGUUGGAAGUAAUCACUUGCCUGGCUUGGCCUCUAUCCUUCCAUCCCAGGUCUCAAAUCCCGUGAAGAUUGCACCAAUUGGUAAAGACCCUGGAAGGAUAAGCCAUAUGCAGUUAAUUACUAAGGCUAAUACAGAACAAGGAGCAACUUAUCAGCAGCAUUUUUCUGUUCCUGAUUCUACAUUCAGUUCAAGUCCUGGACCCGUGUCAUCAUUUGGUGAUUCAAAGUCAUCUAGCGUUGGGACGCUUUCUGGUCCUCAGUUUCUAUGGGGAAGUCCUACUAUUCACUCCAGGUAUGUUCGGUACAGGUACUGAACUACACUUUAGAGGAUAAGAAACAACAUUUCAACUUUUUAUUCUUUAAUCCUGCACAGCAGUGUCCAAUCCAACAUGCCAAAAGUUCCAUCAGAGCACAUGAAUUCUGCUUGGUCAUCAUCCUUGAAGGGACCUAUGUUUUCAUCCACUGGACAAAGAACUGGUUAUCCUUAUCACAGCGGGCAUGGCUCAUUUCUGGGUUCACAUCACGUUGGAUCCGCUCCAUCUGGUAUUCAACUAGAAAGCAAUUUUGGUUUUUCUACAGUCUCACAAGAAUCAUCCCAAAUAAGUCGAGCUGCAAUUGGAGCCACAAAUUUAGGUCGCAACAGUGGGAAUCAUGCCAUGAAUAUGGUUGCCCAGGGGGCUCUGAACAUGGGCGUUGCUUUUACAGGAAAUUUUUCUGAAGGUAGUUCUCCGAGUUCCAGGAUGAUGCCAAUGUCCAGAAAUUCUCCCAUGUUUUUCGGAACUGGUUCUUAUGGAGGCAUGGGAGCAACUGCAACUGAUGGAUUGAUGGACUGCUAUCGAAAUAGAAGAGCUGACAGUGGAAGCCAGAUGGAAGACAGAAGGCAGUAUCAACUUGAUUUGGAAAAGAUCAUCAAUGGGGAAGAUAAUAGGACUACUUUGAUGAUUAAAAAUAUCCCCAACAAGUAUGAACUGAUAACAAUUUCAAUAUCCAUUUUUUUUUUUGAAACUGCGGUUUCCUGCUGCAUUUUUAUUUUCUUUAUUUGAAGGUACACCUCAAAGAUGCUACUUAUGGCUAUUGAUGAAACUCACAAGGGUACAUAUGAUUUCCUCUAUCUGCCAAUUGAUUUUAAGGUGAGUUUACUGUAGAGGACAGUUAUAUACUUUUGUGCUUAACUCAAAAUUAUACACUGUGUGAACUCAAUACCCUCAACUCCUACUGCCUAGAAUAAGUGCAAUGUGGGGUAUGCUUUCAUCAACAUGGUGUCUUCUUCACACAUCAUCACCUUCUACGAGGUUCGAGUUUCUUUCCUUUGUACCUUUACUUUUGGGUCGUCUCUAUUAAAUAUCAUAUCACCUCAGGAUACUAAAAUAUGAGAGCAACUAAUGUUAAAGCUUGGGAACAUUUUACAAUUGCUAUUCUCUAAUCACCCUCACAAGCCACAUAAUCAUAGAUUUUGUUUAUUGAAAACUCCGGAAAUCUGUUCAGUGACAAAUGGACUUGUCUCUUGUAAAUCUGUGCAGGCAUUUAAUGGAAAGAAAUGGGAAAAGUUCAAUAGCGAAAAGGUUGCGUCUCUGGCAUAUGCGAGAAUCCAGGGACAGGUGGCUCUUGUUUCACAUUUCCAAAAUUCAAGUUUAAUGAAUGAAGACAAACGGUGCCGACCAAUUCUCUUCCAGUUAGAGGGCCAAGGGAUCAAAGAUCUGGUAUGUGAAACUAGUUACAAUCUUUUUCCACACUUCAUGACUUAGCACCUGUUUGAUAGGAUUAAAAUCUAUAUUUUAAAUUAAGUCAAAGUCAACAGUUAAUCUUAACAACAUAUUUCAAAGGAUUCACAACUUUUCAACUUUUCAACCACAUAUGUCAUCAAUUUUUAUCAAAAUGUACUAAAAUUUGAUUUUAAUUCCCAUCAAAUAGGGACUUAAUAAUGUUGAGAUCUAUAAUUUUCUAAGUAAGUAAAAGUAAAGUGAGUAAAAAUUUGUCCUACUAAUAAAUUUUGUCAUGUUUUCUAGUUAUAGAGUUUUAUUGACCAAUUAUUUCUCAAACUGUAUCUGAAGGAAAAAGUUUUGGUGGCUUUUUCUAUUAUUUUAUUACAUUACAUUUUAGUUUUUCAAGAAUAAUAUAAAAUCUAUGAACCUCUGGUUGAACACUAAAUAUUUAUCUUUCCAUUAUUAUUAUUAUUUUUUAAUUUCUCUUGCCAUUUGGUGAUCUGAUUUAAAAGGAUUUUUGCGUCUCUCAGGAACCUAGACAUACUAGUAACCUGAACAUCUUCAUACGUCAGCCUGAUGGAACUUAUGUUGGGGAUUCUCUGGACAGCCCAAAGAGUAAUCCAGAUGAGUAGCUGGAGAAAAGUGGACCACUCCCUUAAAGUGGAUGACUCCAAACUAGAAUUGGUGGACAGUAAAUGCUAACUCUCGUACAGCUUUUAUGUCGUAGUUUAUUGUAUUACCUGUGAACUGGAAUGAUAUUACUGGAGUGUCUGCUUUUCAACAUGGAUACUCCGUAUUAUCUUGGAAGAAACAUUUGACAGGGCAAAGGGAGUGUUCUGUUUAUAUGCACACCGGCAAAUGAUUUUAACAGGGCGAGGUAAUUAGAGUGAAGUUUAGCAUCAACUGAUAUGUGAAGUUCUCUCCUUUUUAUUUUGCUCCAUUUUUUGGUCCAGUUCUCACGACUGCUUAGCAGUCUUACUAAAUGUAUAGUAGUUUAUAGAGCUGGGGAGGGUCAGAAAUAUGUAUAGAAGGGAACUACAAAAAGGCCUGUGAAUUCUGAUUUUGUACACAGGAAACUGUGUAUGUGAUAUGAAUUUGCAUGACUUCUUUUGAUCCUUACCGGUUUACCUUAUAAAUUCUGGCUCUCUUUACAAUUGCUCGUAUUCUGUUUUUGUACAAUUCAUGCUAGCUAAGAAUGAAGCUUCUUACAAACUGAGCGUCUUCUUGGAGAUACGUG
rnacentral:lncRNA from 1 species